GUGGGUGCCCGAGGCCCGUGGGGAAGCGGCCGAGCCGGGCCCCAGCUCGCGGGUCGCUUCGAACCCUGGCCCAGCCUGUCUCUCUUGGUCUGUGGCUUUCGUGCCCCUUGCCUCGGUUUGCUCAUCCGUAAAAUGGAGGCGACCUUGCAGGAUGCGGUGACCCUCCCUGGUGCACAGGGCAGCGGGGAUUGUCACCCACGUACACUCCCGGGCAGCGGUCUGCGUAUGCCCCGACUCGGUUCGAUCUCCCGUGUCUUUGGGCAAACUCCAUAAUCUCACGGAGCCUCAGUUUCCCCAUCUGGUUAAAGGAGGCGGCAGGAAUUCCCUACCUCUUGGGUGGUUUGAGGAUCAGUGAAUCAAUAGUGAGACGACGGCUGGCACAUCUCAGUACCAGGGGGCUCUGCCAACCAAGGGGGGGGGGAGUUUUCUCAGUGGUCUGAGCUCUCUCGCUGUAGGGCAGGGAGGUGGGCGCGGGGCAGGUGCCCGUGGAAAUGGGUGCGGGUCACAGGCCCCGGGGAGGAUGGCAUGAGGCGGCUGCAGAGGCCCCCAUCCCGAAGCCCAAGCUGGCAGCACCUGCUGCAGGCGGGCCAGAGGGGGGCCUGGGCGUGAGUCACCGCCCAGCAAUGAGGCGUGAGUCACCCAGGGCGGGGUCCCCCGGCAGCCCCCCCAGCCGCUCCCACAAAGGCCCUUUGAGAAGAGUUCCCCACCCCCUCCUACAGUCCUUAGGCCCUCCGGAGGGUGGGACGUGGGGCCAAGACCCUGAUGGGCUCCCCCCGGGAACCGGGAACCGUGCCUGGGCCUGGAGGCCACAGCCUGUUUCCGCCAUGUCUGUGAGAAGUCACCGUGGGCAGCCUGGUGUCCCCCCGGGAAGGGGCUUCCAGGCCGCCUGAGUCACUCCGGGGACUGCAGUGGGUCACAUGCACACACUGGACAAACUGAGUCAGGCUGUCUGAUUUAUUUGAGAGAGAGAGCAAGAGCAUGAGCAGUGGGGGGGGAGGCAGAGGGAGAAGAAGCAGAUUCCGCCCCCCACCUCAGUAGGUAGCUUGGUGGAUGGAUGCCGGGCUUGAUCCCAGGACCCUGAGAUCAUGAUCUGAGCUGAAGGAAGAUGCUUAACCAACUGAGCUGCCCAGAUCCAAACUCCUCACUGGCCAUCAAGGCCCUGCAUGGCCCCGCCUCCUCCAGAAGCCUUUCCUGAUUGCAUCCUGGCCUGCAGGCUGGCCCCCAUGCCUCUUCUGUACUCACUGGUGCCUCCAGAUCUCAGCACUGAAGACUCCUCGUUAGGUCAGCUAGCUAUGUGACUGUCCUCCCACCAGACAGGGGCAGGGAGGUGCCAUGUCUGUAUUGUUCCCCAGCACGCCAGGAGCGUGGUGAUUAUCAAUACAUCGAUGCCACAGAUAUCGUCUGAGGCUCUACUCGGGUGCCACAACGAUCGAGACAAAGCUUCCUGCCCUGAAGGAACGGACACGAACCCUCUCUGAGUCUGACCCAGUUCAGGAAUGCAGAGGCUGCGGGCCCAACAAACGUGUUGCAGCAAGAAGGCGAAGAGUUAGCCAUUAAGAGGGACCACGUGCGCCUCGACUCAGGGGGCUUUUCCGGGCUGGUUUGGAAAGAAGAGGGGCAACGCGGCGGCGGCCCGAAACGAGGUCUUGGUGGGACAGAUGAAUCCUUUGGCUGAAGACCCCACCUGAAAGGCCAGGCAGCUGGAGAGGAAGCCAGGAAGAUCACAAGGGGAGGGCAGGUCAAGGUCAGAGCCCUCAAGGAAGCAAGACAGAGAGGAGGUGCAGGAGGAAAAGUGUAUCUGGAGGAGUCCCCCACCAAUGUGGCCAGUACCUCAUGCCUGAUGACCCCUCAUUCUAGCGCCACAGUCAUCACAAGCAAAGCUUUUGAGGAACCUGGUGUCCCUGGGGGCAAUAACCGCCUGGCAGCCAGACGUCUUGGGGCCACGAGGAAUCCCUCCUCUGCCUCUCUCUAGCGUGCCCUUUGGCCUGGACUCCCAAACUGACAAAUAGGAGUAAUCUGCACCUUCUAGGGCCCUUUUGAAGAGGACUUGAGCAAAUGUGUCAAGAAGCAAGCCCAGCGCCCAGUACUGGUCUACAUCUGUGUAGCAAAAGCUACAUAAAUAUCUGCAGUUAUUAUUAUUAUUUA